GACGUAGGGCGCGAGCGUUGUCCGGAUUUAUUGGGCGUAAAGAGCUCGUAGGCGGCUUGUCGCGUCCACUGUGAAAACCCGAGGCUCAACUUCGGGCUUGCAGUCGAUACGGGCAGGCUAGAGUUCGGUAGGGGAGGCUGGAAUUCCUGGUGUAGCGGUGAAAUGCGCAGAUAUCAGGAGGAACACCGAUGGCGAAGGCAGGUCUCUGGGCCGAUACUGACGCUGAGGAGCGAAAGCGUGGGGAGCGAACAGG
rnacentral:rRNA from 1 species